UACGUAGGGUGCGAGCGUUGUUCGGAAUUACUGGGCGUAAAGCGCACGUAGGCGGCUUUGUAAGUUAGAGGUGAAAGCCCGGGGCUCAACUCCGGAAUUGCCUUUAAGACUGCAUCGCUAGAAUUGUGGAGAGGUAAGUGGAAUUCCGAGUGUAGAGGUGAAAUUCGUAGAUAUUCGGAAGAGCACCAGUGGCGAAGGCGACUUACUGGACACAUAUUGACGCUGAGGUGCGAAAGCGUGGGGAGCAAACAGG
rnacentral:rRNA from 1 species